CCUUUUUCAGCUGGCUCCCAGAUCCCCAAUCCUGGGCAGUUGAUGCAUUUCUACACCCUUGGCCAGAGAGAGGAGCUUAUGCAUUCCCGCCCUUCUCCAUGAUCCAACGCACCCUUUAUCGAGUCAAAGCUCUGGUAGUGAUGAUAGUCAUUGUUACCCCUUUAUGGAGGGCCCAGAACUGGUUCCCAACUCUGCUAGAACAAUCAGUGAAUUACCCAAUUCUAUUGCAGCAAUUCCCCAACAUACUCAAGAAUCCAGCCGGGGACUGUCACCCGCUCACUCUUCAAGAACGGCUCCAAC